AAAUGUCCACAUGCAGCCAGGGUGCUGACUGAGGUGACCAGUUUGCUUGAGUUUUCAUACUCUGCACUCUCCAGUGGAACAGCAGCUGCAGGACUCUUAUUUUUGUGAUGUGGAGCAUGUCUGGGUGUGUGGCAGGGGGAACUGAAAUAGUCUCUGCUGACUUUUUGUACCUACAGAUUUUGUUUCAUUGCUCAUUUUGGAAAAGGGAAGCCCUUAUAGGGGCCAAAUUAAUGGUUUUUCUGUAAAUGAUUUUUUUUCCCCCUCAAACUCCAUUGGCUUGACUUCCAGUGGUAUAGAAAGGCAAUAUGGUGAACUUCUCAGCCCGAAAAAGGAGAUCUCCAAUCAGGGCCGAGAGGCUCAUGCUAAGGUGGAAAGAUUUUCCUCCGUGAUGGACUCUUGGAUACCUACGGGAGAUUUAAAAGGCCCUCAGACCACAGGAUUAAUGCCACAGCUCCGGAGCAAGCCCCAGCCCCGGCCCGGCCAUACCAGGGCGUCCGUGUGAAGGAGCCAGUGAAGGAACUGCUGAGGAGGAAGCGAGGCCACGCCA
rnacentral:sRNA from 1 species